UUUACCAUUUAUUCAAAUUUUCUAGUGUCUAAAACAAACAAAAUAAAGCUGUUUAAUAACAAAACAAAAAAAUAAGAAAUCACUUUUUUUAAUAAAAAAUCUUUUUUUCCUCCUAAAGAAAUUCAAUCCAGGAAUCAAUGAAACCUGGAGUGUGGUCACCUACUUCCCUGUAACUGUCCGUUCUACAGAGUUGAUUCCAGUUCAAUCAGAGUGAAUCCGCCUUUCAGUCUUCGAAGUCUGAGCUGCAAAGAAGAUUUAACAAUAUAAAGUUUAUUUUUUAUCAGUUAGAUCCACAAUGCAUUUAUUAAAAAUGAUCAAAACAGUUCAUGCUAUACUCUUACACUUUGAAACUAAUUGAUAAACAUAAAAUAUUCUUUGAUUAUUUGA